rnacentral:rRNA from 1 species
AGAGUUUGAUUCUGGCUCAGAACGAACGCUGGCGGCGUGCUUAACACAUGCAAGUCGAACGCGAAAGGGACUUCGGUCCUGAGUAAAGUGGCGCACGGGUGAGUAACGCGUGGAUAAUCUACCCAAUGAUCUGGGAUAACAUCUCGAAAGGGGGGCUAAUACCGGAUAAGACCACGGGAUCUUCGGAUUUUGCGGUAAAAGGUGGGGACCUUCGGGCCUACCGUGAUUGGAUGAGUCCGCGUACCAUUAGCUAGUUGGUAGGGUAAAGGCCUACCAAGGCGACGAUGGUUAGCUGGUCUGAGAGGAUGAUCAGCCACACUGGAACUGAGACACGGUCCAGACUCCUACGGGAGGCAGCAGUGGGGAAUUUUGCGCAAUGGGGGAAACCCUGACGCAGCAACGCCGCGUGAGUGAUGAAGGCCUUCGGGUCGUAAAGCUCUGUCGGAGGGGAAGAAAUGCGAGUGGCUAAUAUCCAUUUCGCUUGACGGUACCCUCAAAGGAAGCACCGGCUAACUCCGUGCCAGCAGCCGCGGUAAUACGGAGGGUGCGAGCGUUGUUCGGAAUUAUUGGGCGUAAAGCGCGUGUAGGCGGUUUGUUAAGUCUGAUGUGAAAGCCCUGGGCUUAACCUGGGAAGUGCAUUGGAAACUGGCAGACUUGAAUACGGGAGAGGGUAGUGGAAUUCCUAGUGUAGGAGUGAAAUCCGUAGAUAUUAGGAGGAACACCGGUGGCGAAGGCGGCUGCCUGGACCGAUAUUGACGCUGAGACGCGAAAGCGUGGGGAGCAAACAGGAUUAGAUACCCUGGUAGUCCACGCCGUAAACGAUGAGUACUAGGUGUUGCGGGUAUUGACCCCUGCAGUGCCGCAGCUAACGCAUUAAGUACUCCGCCUGGGAAGUACGGUCGCAAGACUAAAACUCAAAGGAAUUGACGG